GUGAGGAAUAUUGGUCAAUGGGCGAGAGCCUGAACCAGCCAAGUCGCGUGAAGGAAGAAGGAUCUAUGGUUCGUAAACUUCUUUUGCAGGGGAAUAAAGUGCAGGACGUGUUCUGUUUUGUAUGUACCCUGAGAAUAAGGAUCGGCUAACUCCGUGCCAGCAGCCGCGGUAAUACGGAGGAUCCGAGCGUUAUCCGGAUUUAUUGGGUUUAAAGGGUGCGUAGGUGGUUUGAUAAGUCAGCGGUGAAAGUUUGCAGCUUAACUGUAAAAAUGCCGUUGAAACUGUCGGACUUGAGUGUAAAUGAGGUAGGCGGAAUGCGUGGUGUAGCGGUGAAAUGCAUAGAUAUCACGCAGAACUCCGAUUGCGAAGGCAGCUUACUAAGCUACAACUGACACUGAAGCACGAAAGCGUGGGGAUCAAACAGGAUUAGAUACCCCUGUAGUCC
rnacentral:rRNA from 1 species